rnacentral:rRNA from 1 species
AUUGAACGCUGGCGGCAGGCCUAACACAUGCAAGUCGAACGAGAGGCGGACGGGUGAGAAAUGAAUGGGAAAAUGCCUGAUGGAGGGGGAUAAAUACUGGAAACGGUAGCUGAUAACGCAUAACAACGGAUGUGCCCAGAUGGGCUUAGCGAGUGGGUGGGGAAAAGGCUCACCUAGGCGACGAGCCGUAGCUUGUGUGAGAGGACGACCAGCCACACGGGGACUUAGACACGGUCCAGACUCCUACGGGAGGCAGCAGUGGGGAAUCUUGCACAAUGGGGGCAAGCCUGAUUCAGCCAUCCCGCGUGUAUGAAGAAGGCCUUCGGGUUGUAAAGUACUUUCAGCAGGUAGGCGUUACCCGCAGAAGAAGCACCGGCUAACUCCGUGCCAGCAGCCGCGGUAAUAC